rnacentral:rRNA from 1 species
AGAGUUUGAUCCUGGCUCAGGAUAAACGACUGGUGGCGCACAUAAGACAUGCAAGUCGAACGGACUUAACCGAGAUGUUUACAUUUGGUAGCGGUUAGUGGCGGACUGGUGAGUAACACGUAAGCAACCUGCCUAUUAGAGGGGAAUAACAGUGAGAAAUCAUUGCUAAUACCGCAUAUGCCAUAAACACCACAUGGUGAAAGUGGGAAAGGAGAAAUCCGCUAAUAGAUGGGCUUGCGUCUGAUUAGAUAGUUGGUGGGGUAACGGCCUACCAAGUCGACGAUCAGUAGCCGAACUGAGAGGUUGAACGGCCACAUUGGGACUGAGAUACGGCCCAGACUCCUACGGGAGGCAGCAGUCGGGAAUAUUGCACAAUGGAGGAAACUCUGAUGCAGUGACGCCGCGUGCAGGAAGAAGGUUUUCGGUAUUGUAAACUGCUUUAGACAGGGAAGAAACAAGACAGUACCUGUAGAAUAAGCUCCGGCUAACUACGUG